rnacentral:misc_RNA from 1 species
AACUGAUACUACCUGCGGGAACCUGCGGAGGGAUCAUUAUAGAGUUUUUAACUCCCAAACCCAUGUGAACUUACCUUUGUUGCCUCGGCGGAGCCUACCCGGUACCUACCCUGUAGCGCCCCGCCGGUGGACUUCUAAACUAUUGUUAUUUUAAUGAUAUCUGAGAGUCUUAUUUUAAUAAGUCAAAACUUUUAACAAUGGAUCUCU